rnacentral:RNase_P_RNA from 2 species
GCAGAUCCAAGGUCGCAAUGCUCGUCAUACACAGGGUUACGGUGCAUUAUGUGUUGCUCGCCUCUCCUUGCGAGCGGGCCAAGGUCUGAGUAUUCUAAUCCCGGUUGAUCGACUCUAGAUGGGUCCGAACACCAUCGUACCGCGUUGCGUACCAGUAAACCAAGCAAUUCUGCAGAGCCGCGCGGCUUAGGCUCUCACUGAGUCUAUUACCCCGGAUUGACCAAAGACCCCACUUUAUGGGCGAGGAAGACGGUUGAUUGCUUUGAGAUGCGUAGCAGGGAUUGGGUGGGUUGUUCUUUCCGUUGGUCUGUCUCUCACUUCCGCACGGCGUCCACUGGCCUUUAUCCCGUGAGGGAAGGCCUUCUAUCGCACGUGCUGCUUUAGAGAACUUAGAAGACAAUGUGAAUUUUCACUGCGUUUUCGUAUCCAUGCACUAUUCGUCUCUCGCACCCUUGCAUGCAAACCACGAGUGUCUUGAAAAAGCGCUCGCUGGUCUCGUGUCCAUCAAAUCAAUGGUGGGCACGGUUAUAACUCUUAUGUGUGUACCCCACAAAGUAUGCAUACGGAGUAUCACUGCUUCAUGCGUCGUUUUGGCGUAUGGGGUGGACCCAACUUAGACUAAGUCGAGAGCGAGAGAGCAUGGAUAGGAUAUGUACCGGCGGAUUUGCUGAGAGGCAAUAAGACUGACUGGAGAGAUGACCCGCCCUUUAGUGCAAUUUGCGACACGUCAGUCAUCUUUCGUUGUACUAAUGUAACUCGAUUCAGACUACUCUGGAUCUGC